rnacentral:rRNA from 2 species
AGGGGCAGUGGCGGCAUGCCUAUACAUGCAGUCGAACGAACUCUGGUAUUGAUUGGUGCUUGCAUCAUGAUUUACAUUUGAGUGAGUGGCGAACUGGUGAGUAACACGUGGGAAACCUGCCCAGAAGCGGGGGAUAACACCUGGAAACAGAUGCUAAUACCGCAUAACAACUUGGACCGCAUGGUCCGAGUUUGAAAGAUGGCUUCGGCUAUCACUUCUGGAUGGUCCCGCGGCGUAUUAGCUAGAUGGUGAGGUAACGGCUCACCAUGGCAAUGAUACGUAGCCGACCUGAGAGGGUAAUCGGCCACAUUGGGACUGAGACACGGCCCAAACUCCUACGGGAGGCAGCAGUAGGGAAUCUUCCACAAUGGACGAAAGUCUGAUGGAGCAACGCCGCGUGAGUGAAGAAGGGUUUCGGCUCGUAAAACUCUGUUGUUAAAGAAGAACAUAUCUGAGAGUAACUGUUCAGGUAUUGACGGUAUUUAACCAGAAAGCCACGGCUAACUACGUGCCAGCAGCCGCGGUAAUACGUAGGUGGCAAGCGUUGUCCGGAUUUAUUGGGCGUAAAGCGAGCGCAGGCGGUUUUUUAAGUCUGAUGUGAAAGCCUUCGGCUCAACCGAAGAAGUGCAUCGGAAACUGGGAAACUUGAGUGCAGAAGAGGACAGUGGAACUCCAUGUGUAGCGGUGAAAUGCGUAGAUAUAUGGAAGAACACCAGUGGCGAAGGCGGCUGUCUGGUCUGUAACUGACGCUGAGGCUCGAAAGUAUGGGUAGCAAACAGGAUUAGAUACCCUGGUAGUCCAUACCGUAAACGAUGAAUGCUAAGUGUUGGAGGGUUUCCGCCCUUCAGUGCUGCAGCUAACGCAUUAAGCAUUCCGCCUGGGGAGUACGGCCGCAAGGCUGAAACUCAAAGGAAUUGACGGGGGCCCGCACAAGCGGUGGAGCAUGUGGUUUAAUUCGAAGCUACGCGAAGAACCUUACCAGGUCUUGACAUACUAUGCAAAUCUAAGAGAUUAGACGUUCCCUUCGGGGACAUGGAUACAGGUGGUGCAUGGUUGUCGUCAGC